rnacentral:rRNA from 1 species
AUUGAACGCUGGCGGCAUGCCUUACACAUGCAAGUCGAACGGCAGCAUGAUCUAGCUUGCUAGAUUGAUGGCGAGUGGCGAACGGGUGAGUAAUACAUCGGAACCUGCCCUGUAGUGGGGGAUAACUAGUCGAAAGAUUAGCUAAUACCGCAUACGACCUGAGGGUGAAAGUGGGGGACCGCAAGGCCUCAUGCUAUAGGAGCGGCCGAUGUCUGAUUAGCUAGUUGGUGAGGUAAAGGCUCACCAAGGCGACGAUCAGUAGCUGGUCUGAGAGGACGAUCAGCCACACUGGGACUGAGACACGGCCCAGACUCCUACGGGAGGCAGCAGUGGGGAAUUUUGGACAAUGGGCGAAAGCCUGAUCCAGCAAUGCCGCGUGUGUGAAGAAGGCCUUCGGGUUGUAAAGCACUUUUGUCCGGAAAGAAAUGGCUCUGGUUAAUACCUGGGGUCGAUGACGGUACCGGAAGAAUAAGGACCGGCUAACUACGUG